rnacentral:rRNA from 1 species
UACGGAGGGUGCAAGCGUUACUCGGAAUUACUGGGCGUAAAGCGUGCGUAGUCGGUUAUCUAAGUCGGGUGUGAAAUCCCCGGGCUCAACCUGGGAAUUGCAUUCGAUACUGGAUAGCUAGAGUUCGGCAGAGGGAAGCGGAAUUUCGGGUGUAGCGGUGAAAUGCGUAGAUAUCCGAAGGAACAUCAGUGGCGAAAGCGGCUUCCUGGACCAGAACUGACGAUCAGGCACGAAAGCGUGGGGAGCAAACAGG